rnacentral:lncRNA from 1 species
AUCACCAUUUCCAUGAUGAUCCAUCGAUCGGGAGCAUUUAUGAAUUAACCAUCAGUGACACAUGUUUCAAAUUCUCAACUUUCUAGAAUACGUGUUAUCAUCUUAUUAGUUCCUUGAACAAUUUAUGGACACAGACACAACAUGAAUGAAAAUAAUAACUCAUAUUUAUUCAUAAUACUUUAAAAUUAAAUAUAAAUUUAUAUCCUAAAACGAAUACAUAUGUCAGUCUGAUUGACUUCUAGGGCAUACAUCU